CUUGAGAUUCUGUGGAAUCUCAGAGAACACUCGAAGCACCAAUUACUACAAGGCAAUUAUAAACAAGAACUGAUUGAUGGGUACAGAAACUUAGAAUUUAACGGAUCUCAUGGAAGCACUAUUUCAAAAAUGUCAUAACAAUAAAUAAAUAAACAUCGAAGUUGUA